rnacentral:tRNA from 1 species
GCCCAGCCAGUAUGGUGGCUAUGACUCUCGGCUUGUAACCGAGUGGGUUCGGGUUCGAAUCGCGAGUAAGACA